CUCAGGAUGAACGCUAGCGACAGGCCUAACACAUGCAAGUCGAGGGCAGCGAAGAGGUAGCAAUACCUCUGUCGGCGACCGGCGCACGGGUGAGUAACACGUAUGCAAUCCACCUGUAACAGGGGGAUAACCCGGAGAAAUCCGGACUAAUACCCCAUAAUAUGGGCGCUCCGCAUGGAGGGCUCAUUAAAGAAAGCAAUUUUGGUUACAGACGAGCAUGCGCUCCAUUAGCCAGUUGGCGGGGUAACGGCCCACCAAAGCGACGAUGGAUAGGGGUUCUGAGAGGAAGGUCCCCCACAUUGGAACUGAGACACGGUCCAAACUCCUACGGGAGGCAGCAGUGAGGAAUAUUGGUCAAUGGUCGGCAGACUGAACCAGCCAAGUCGCGUGAGGGAAGACGGCCCUACGGGUUGUAAACCUCUUUUGUCGGAGAGUAAAGUACGCUACGUGUAGCGUAUUGCAAGUAUCCGAAGAAAAAGCAUCGGCUAACUCCGUG
rnacentral:rRNA from 1 species